rnacentral:misc_RNA from 1 species
GCAGUGUACGGUACCGGU